GGAGCGAUGGCCGAGUGGUCGAAGGUGCACGACUGGAAAUCGUGUGUACCGAAAGGUACCGAGGGUUCGAACCCCUCUCGCUCCG
rnacentral:tRNA from 1 species